UUUUUGAAGGGUUUGAUCUUGGCUCAGAACGAACGCUGGCGGCGUGGAUUAGGCAUGCAAGUCGAACGAGGAUAUAUCCUUCGGGAUAUAAGCCGAGUGGCACAAGGGUGAGCAAUGCAUAGAUUACCUACCUUUAGGAUAAGGGCAACUUUGUGAAAACGGAGCUAAUACUUAAUAAUACAAAAGAAAAUAAUUUUCUUUUGUCAAAGGGAGGGUAGCAAUACCUUUCGCCUAGAGAGGGGUUUAUGUCCU
rnacentral:rRNA from 1 species